UGCACUUUUUCCAUUAGAGAGGAGAAAAUUGUUUUUAUUUAACCUUUAUUUAACUAGGCAAGUCAGUUGAGAACAAAUUCGUAUUUACAAUGACAGCCUACCGGGGAACAGUGGGUUAACUGCCUUGUUCAGGGGCAGAAUGACAGAUUUUUACCUUGUCAGCUCGGGGAUUCGAUCCAGCAACCUUUCGGCUCUAACCACUAGGCUACAUUACCUGCUGACGAGGGGGGAGACUUAGGCUCGGGGGCCUCAUUUAUAAACAUUUACAUACAUACAAAAUAUACCCCAAAAUGUGCGUGCACCAGUUUUCACACAAGUUAGAAUUUAUAAAAACUGAACUUGACUUGAAAAUGUGCUCAUCUUCCAGCAAAAAUUCGACUGUGUAUGCACUUUCUAGUGGUUGAAGUUUUGCAUUGCAAGCAGGCAAGUAGAUUAGUAUGUUGUGCAUGUGGGGGAUAUACUGGACAUGUUUGUUCAUAACAAUAAACAGGUUAAUAAGAUGCAAUCAUUUGCUGUUAGUGAGAAGAGAGAAAAUCUUAUUUUCCAUGAUCAUUGCAUAAUAAAUUCCUGACCUUU